CCUACGGGAGGCAGCAGUGGGGGAUAUUGCACAAUGGGGGGAACCCUGAUGCAGCGACGCCGCGUGGGUGAAGGAGCGUUUCGGCGCGUAAAGCCCUAUCGGCAGGGAAGAAGAUGACGGUACCUGGCCAAGAAGCCCCGGCUAACUACGUGCCAGCAGCCGCGGUAAUACGUAGGGGGCCAGCGUUAUCCGGAGUUAUUGGGUGUAAAGGGGGCGCAGACGGCAAUGCAAGCCAGGAGUGAAAGCCCGGGGCCCAACCCCGGGACUGCUCUUGAAACUGCAUGGCUGGAGUACAGGAGGGGCAGGCGGAAUUCGUGGUGUAGCGGUGAAAUGCGUAGAUAUUAGGAGGAACACCGGUGGCGAAGGCAGCCUGCUGGACUGUGACUGACGUUGAGGCCCGAAGGCGUGGGGAGCAAACAGGAUUAGAUACCCCGGUAGUC
rnacentral:rRNA from 1 species